rnacentral:rRNA from 1 species
UACGUAGGCAGCAAGCGUUGUUCGGAGUUACUGGGCGUAAAGGGUGCGUAGGCGGCUUCUUAAGUUUGGUGUGAAAUCUCCCGGCUCAACUGGGAGGGUGCGCCGAAUACUGAAUGACUAGAGUGCGGGAGAGGAAAGUGGAAUUCCUGGUGUAGCGGUGAAAUGCGUAGAUAUCAGGAGGAACACCGGUGGUGUAGACGGCUCUCUGGACCGUAACUGACGCUGAGGCACGAAAGCGUGGGUAGCAAACAGG